ACACCGGAAUAACAGUGGGAAACCGCUGCUAAUGCCGGAUACUCCAACUCCACCGCAUGGCGGAGUUGGGAAAGGUCCGCCGGUCCGGGAUGGUCUCGCGGCCUAUCAGCUUGUUGGUGGGGUAACGGCCUACCAAGGCAACGACGGGUAGCUGGCGUGAGAGCGUGGCCAGCCACACUGGGACUGAGAUACGGCCCAGACUCCUACGGGAGGCAGCAGUGGGGAAUCUUGCACAAUGGGCGAAAGCCUGAUGCAGCGACGCCGCGUGAGGGAUGAAGGCCCUAGGGUUGUAAACCUCUUUCAGCAGGGACGAAGCGAAAGUGACGGUACCUGCAGAAGAAGCCCCGGCUAACUACGUGCCAGCAGCCGCGGUAAUACGUAGGGGGCGAGCGUUGUCCGGAUUUAUUGGGCGUAAAGAGCGCGUAGGUGGUUCGUAAAGUCGGAAGUGAAAUUCCAGGGCUCAACCCUGGGACGCCUUUCGAUACUUGCGAACUAGAGCACGGUAGGGGGAUCUGGAAUUCCUGGUGUAGCGGUGAAAUGCGCAGAUAUCAGGAGGAACACCGGUGGCGAAGGCGGGAUCCUGGGCCGUUGCUGACACUGAGGCGCGAAAGCUGGGGGAGCGAACAGGAUUAGAUACCCUGGUAGUCCCAGCCGUAAACGAUGGGUGCUAGGUGUGGGAGGCUAUCGACGUCUUCCGUGCCGCAGCUAACGCAUUAAGCACCCCGCCUGGGGAGUACGGCCGCAAGGCUAAAACUCAAAGGAAUUGACGGGGGCCCGCACAAGCGGCGGAGCAUGU
rnacentral:rRNA from 1 species